CCCGCACCCAACACAACCCAAUCCCCUCGUCCCGCACGCCGUGCACACUCCGGUCCCCUCAUCCCGCAUGAACCCUAGGAGAGAGAGAUAGGAAGAUGAGAGGGAGAGAAAGGGGAGAGGAGAGGAGAGGAGAGGGAGGUCCGGCAGCGGACGGGAGAGGGUGACCGGCCGGCGUCGGCCUACACCGGCGAGGCGUCGGCCUGCGCCCCUCGCCGCGCCCGGCACACCUCCCUCCUCCACUCCCCCCGCACCCGACCCCUUCGCCCCCGAGCUUGUUUCUCCAGCUACCGCACCGGAGCGGCAUGGCGCUCACGCGACCAUCGACGGGCUAUGAAGGAGGAGGAGACAUGGCAUGGAGGUGGUGGCCACUUGGUAGCCUUCGUCUGCGGCGUCAUACCACUGUCGGGGUGCCGCGCAAGAGGUCAGGUCCGUCGCCACCGCGAGCCAGGGGACGCUCGUUGGUGAUCCUACGUGCAGGAAGCCAACGGGGGGCACGGCGUCAACAAGCCGACAGGAGGCGGGGUCUUCCCACUGGGAUGGAGGAGCAGGCGAUGGCCAGGAGGCCGCCGGUGGGGGAGCAACGAGGCCCGAGCUCUAGGCUCCGCACACAUUGCAGGAUGGAGAAGAGGCCGACAUGGGGCGCAAGGAGCAGCAGGGGAAGAAUGGUGGGGCUUUCAUCUCCUCUCUCAUCCCGACUCCUGCAACCUCGCCACUGGUGCUCACUCGGCCGAUGUAUGGGUGGCGGCCGGGAGUUUGGCCCUCGGCACGAAUUCGACCCCCGAGUCUAGCUGACGAGCCCCGUGGUUGGUUUGUCCUCCUACCUCCAGAUCCCCUCUUACUCAUUCUCCUCCUCUCCCCAUAUUUUGCUCUGUUGUUUGUGUUCCUUCAAUUUGCAGGGAUUGUGGGAAGCAAAUGCACGUGGGGAGUUGUUCUACUCUCUCCCUCGAGGUGGGUUGAGUUGCGGUUUAGGUGGAGAUGUUGGUGCUGUUUGAGACGCCCACUAGGUUCGCCGUUUUCAAGGUUCUGAACAAGGGCAAGCUCGACAAGAUCAAGAGCUUUGUCUUCAUCUUUGUCUGUAGGAUCUAUGGAAGGAGUUCACGAGAUCGGACUCGGCGAGAAAGCAUGGUGGCCAAGAUGCGGCAACCCCAUGCUCUGUUCCGAUGGGACUCCUCUGCCCGCUGGUUGCCGCUGGUUGAGUUUGGUACGGUUUCCUGUUGUUGCUUGUGUCGAGCCAUGGGUCCGUCUCUCCUUCGCACUGAGCCUACUUCUCCUGUCGCUGGCGCUUCUUCUUCUCGUCCGUCCUGCUUCUUACCAAAGUGCUUAUGCUUGCUGCCUCGGGUUGUAUGAUUUCUUCUGUCACUGUCGUUUGACUCAUCAAGGAUGUGUAUGCUUGUUUCCGGUGUUAUACCUGUUUUGGAGGCUGUGGGUAGCUCGAUGCGCUUUGCCGUCCCUUUCAUAUCUGUGUGUAGUCGCAGAGGAUGGCUCUGUUCUUGCUGGUGUAGAACUCGAGCUCCCAGUGGGACAGAUAUGGUCCUAUGGAGAAGCUUGAUGAACAAGCCGAGGUGCAGCUACUUUCAACCCCUCAUGCUAUAUACCCAUAUAUACACAUGUCUCCCACUUGAUUGGUUUUGUCUCACGCACAAGGUGAGCUCUUGUGGUAAAGCUGAAACUUCAUCACCUACUGUUGAAGAAAAGGAUGAUGACAAUGACCAGGCUCAAGUGACCAGAAACAAAAGAAUGAAGUGGCAAGCAUAGAAGAAAUGCAGAGCCAGUUUUCCUCGGAUGCAGUGUAUUACACUGAGUCUGAGGAUACACAACAGUCUAUUGAGGCUACUCCACCAUCGGUGAAAAUCCCCAACAGAAUGAUGCUGGAUGUCCUUUUAGAAUCUUUGGGCCUGCCAUUGGCUGAGUAUCAAACCAAAGUAUGCGAGGAUGGUUUGAAGUUACAAAGAAUCCCAUUUUUGUUCAGAUAUGCAUGCCUUUUUGUCAUCUAGAAUCUUUGCAUUUAGGUUUAUAUUAUUGAUUCAGGUUUAGCUGUUUAGAUCAAAACUGUAAUCUUGCGUGUAGAUUGGACAGAUUAUUUCUCACUUUGAGGACUCCGUUUUGUUCAUCGGAAAGUUUUUUCCCAGUGUCGUUCUUCCAAAAAUGAAUUGAAAUUACUAAGAUU